rnacentral:lncRNA from 1 species
AGGAUCUAGAAGCAAAUUAUAAAGAAGAGGGAGGCACGAUGGAGAGAGCAGCAAGCGUGCUAACAUUUCUGAAUAAACUCAAGACUCUGCUGACUGCAUCUCUUGGAAAAGAAGAAGCAGGGCAAAGCAUGGCGGUGCUUAAAAGAACCACGAGCAGAAGUGGCAUUGAUGGGAUCAGAGAAACUUUCCUCACAAGUGUCUAAGUGAAAAGAAACUGAAGGAGACAAAACCAGAGACCAAUAUCCACCCGAUUUUCGCAGUAACUACAAGAGAACUGCAAAUGGUUUACAUUGCUUACUAAGCACACAUUUCAGCAAUGGUGAAGGCCUGCAGGCAGGUGCCUGGGUAGCCUGGGAUGCAAGUUCAUCCAAAUAAAGCUGGCUUUCACUUUUUAU